AGUGGCGGACGGGUGAGUAACGCGUGAACAAUCUGCCCUGUACAAAGGAAUAGCCUCGGGAAACUGGGAUUAAAACCAUAUGACACUUACAUAUCGCAUGAUGAGUAAGUCAAAUUGAUUAAGAGGUAUAGGAUGAGUUCGCGUCUGAUUAGCUAGUUGGUGAGGUAAUGGCUCACCAAGGCGACGAUCAGUAGCCGGCCUGAGAGGGUGAACGGCCACACUGGAACUGAGACACGGUCCAGACUCCUACGGGAGGCAGCAGUGGGGAAUAUUGCACAAUGGGCGAAAGCCUGAUGCAGCGACGCCGCGUGAGUGAAGAAGGUCUUCGGAUCGUAAAACUCUGUCCUUGGUGAAGAAAAAAAUGACGGUAGCCAAGGAGGAAGCCCCGGCUAACUACGUGCCAGCAGCCGCGGUAAUACGUAGGGGGCGAGCGUUGUCCGGAUUUACUGGGCGUAAAGGGUGAGUAGGCGGUUAUAUAUGUCAGAUGUAAAAGGCACAGGCUUAACUUGUGUAAGCAUUUGAAACUGUAUGACUUGAGUGCAGGAGAGGUAAGUGGAAUUCCUAGUGUAGCGGUGAAAUGCGUAGAUAUUAGGAGGAACACCAGUGGCGAAGGCGACUUACUGGACUGUAACUGACGCUGAGUCACGAAAGCGUGGGUAGCAAACAGGAUUAGAUACCCUGGUAGUCCACGCUGUAAACGAUGAGUGCUAGGUGUUGGCCAGCGAUAGUCAGUGCCGAAGUUAACACAAUAAGCACUCCGCCUGGGGAGUACGGUCGCAAGACUGAAACUCAAAGGAAUUGACGGGGACCCGCACAAGCAGCGGGAGCAUGUGGUUUAAUUCGAAGCA
rnacentral:rRNA from 1 species